rnacentral:lncRNA from 1 species
CUUUACAGCUUUAACUCAGCUUUUUUUAUUUUUUAUUUGUCGUGCCCAAAGCCUGCAUAAUGAAAAUAUGAUCAGAAUUAAAAUGAUGUACAAAGUUAUUAAUUAAUGUCAUACAAUUAAGUGAGUAACUAAUGUCAUACAUUACAACAAUCAAUCAAUCUAUAUAUCUUCACACCCAUCUCUAAUAUUUUCAUUCCCAAACUCACCCAUUAGGUCAUUAAAUGUGUCUACAUUUGGUAUCCUUCUAAUAAAU